AGAAGCUCAGAGAGGAAGUGCAGCAGUUUCGUAAACUGGGAUGAGUUGACGUGACCAGAUGAGUCCAGCAGAAGCAGAAUAUCUCCCUCACAACAGUCUAACACACACACACACACACACACAAAACGACACACGACUGCAUGCUAUUUCCACGUUAUUUGUGUCCUCACUGAUAUUUUUGAAUGUGUAAAAUACUAAAUCUCUUUAGCAGUGAAAGAUUAAUAAAAUGUCACAUCAUCCACAUAACACCAAAUUCAUUUAUCAUCAUUACACAAAUCAUUACACAAGCAUGCAUGCAUGCAUGCAUACAAUAAAGCCGACCUGUUAACAGAAUCCUGCCUUAAAUGUUUACAUUUCUACAGGCCUGAGAAACAAAUAGGUUCUCAGAUAAAACUAAAAGAAAAUAUUUUCCAGUAAACGUAACCCAAUAAACGAAAUAUAUUCUUAGAGAAGUCUUCGUCAUAGCCUACGGCACUAAACAUAAUGGAUUAUUGAGAACACCUGACUCGUUCUUCGCGCGCUUCCCGCCACUCACCUGAGCUGCGCGCGAAGGUCGGCCACAGGCACGCGCUCACCAGCACCAAGGCGAUCCGGAGUUUCUCCAUUUAUUAAACAAACUGUUACACAAGCUGCCUGAACACUGACUCAUAUGGAUGUACAGACAGGAGAGAGAGAGAGAGAGAGAGAGAGAGAGAUGAAGGCUUGGAAAACUCUUUGGAAACCCACGCAGUCAGGUGGAGUGUUGUGUGAUGAAGACCCUCAUCAUGACAGAUGAAUGAGAGAGUGUAGCUCACAUUCAGUGUGACAGUAAUGAGAGUCACAGGGGGGAACGAGCGAAUGAAUCCAGCUCGAGAGAGACCAACAACAGGACACAACACCCAACGUCCCGUGAGAUCUGUGGCCUCAUGAGGAUCAUCUGUCUGUCAAACCCAGACACGAACGUCCCGCCUCCAGCACAGACCCCGCCCAUGAUGACGAGCUCCUGUGAUUGGCUGGAAAUAUAAGAAGAUGUGUAGCCGCCUAAGAAGAGCACAGAAUAGCGCCGCAGCAACCACAACCAAUGGUGACAUCAUCACAAAGCCCAGGAUGGUUAGGGCGGAGCUACUGUUGUCGUCAAGAGGAAUCCGGUGUAAAGCAGCAGGGCGGCGGGCAGCAGGACGACACUGAAGACGAGCAGCAGGAGAACCGCACACAUCAUCAGCAGCAUGAGGUUCCACAGCAGAAGAAUGACCGUCCA